GCUGAGGUGGCCCAACCCGGUAAGGCGCGAGCCUGGAGAGCUCGUGAGGGUAACCCCUCUUGGGAGUUCAAAUCUCCCCCUCAGCG
rnacentral:tRNA from 1 species